CAUAGGAAGACGCUCCCCUUGUCACUGCUGAAGACAGAGCAGAAUCACCCCAUGCUGGUGGAACUGAAGAACAGUGAGAUCUACAAUGGGCACCUGGUGAGCUGCGACAACUGGAUGAACAUCAGAGAGGUGAUCUGCAUGUCGAGGGACAGCAACAAGUUCUGGUGAAUGCUACAUCCAUGGCAGCACCAUCAAGUACCUGCGUAUCCCUGAUGAGAUCAUCGACAUGGUGCGGGAGGAGGCCGCCAAGGGUCAAGGGCGAGGGGGACCAUAGCAGCAGAAGCAGCAGAAAGUCCGAGGCAUGGGCGGUGCUGGCCGAGGUGUGUUUGGUGGCCGGGGCUGGGGUGGCAUCCCGGGUGCGGGCCGUGGUCAGCCUGAGAAUAAACCAGGACGGCAAGCGGGCAAGCAGUGAAUGGGCACAGCCCAAGCAGAGUCCAGGACGGUGGGCUAGCCUCUGGGCGCCUUUGCGUGAAGCCUUUGACUGCCACUGGCUCAGUUUCUGGAAGGUUCCAAGUCAGAGGCACCUCUAAAGCCUUGGAUGUUCUUUGAAG